GGACAAUGAUCACUCUGUUGGCUAAGAAACAACAUUGUCACAAUGUCGAAUCCUCUAUUUUUUUAUUUUUUUUUUCAACUUUAAGCAAGCUGACAUCUCUUCAAAUGCAAGCUUAAUGAGUGACCUAUAUUGACAUAACACAAUAUUUGAUUGAUAGAUAAACAAUACUGCUCUAAGGCCCUUGACUGGCUCUUUUUCAGAUCUGAAAGGAGAAAGAAUGAGAAACCGAUUAAGGAUUUCAAAGUGAUUGCAAGAAAAUAUGCAAAUUAAGAAAAACUAAUUGUGAAACAAAGUUUACCCAUAGUUUCUAUUUAGUAAUAAAUGUUAGUAAUGAGUAGGGAUUUAUCAGAAAUCAGACGAGACACUGCAGGUAAAUAAGGGAAAAAAAUGAACUAAUAGUUAUCACCAUAAUACAAUAAAAAUUGCAAACAUUUCUUGUAAUACAAGUUUUUUAAAAUGCUAUGUUUAAAUAUGCAAAUGAGGCAUUAUUUACUUAAAAAUGAGCUAAUUUGCAUACAUUUCUAGUACAAAAAUCUAAACAUUGGAUGAAGUCAGGUUCAGAAUUCUUGUUUCAUUUCUCUCUUUUUUUUUUACAUAUUAGAGUCAAAAGUUUUUACAGAGGGGAUCUCUUUUUAUCACAGAAAAAAAAAUAAAUUUUCAAAAUUUUUCUUUGAAAUAAAAUGUUGUAUAUAAUCUGGCAAAUUAUAUAUGAACAAAUCCCUCUGUAAAAACCUUCAGAAUAUCGAUUAAAAAAAAAAAAAAAAAAACUCAUUUUGAGAAAAUAGCCUUUAAAAAUAUAUAUUGUAAUUGAAAUCUAUAGACACAAAUAGAUAAAGUGCCAAAAAAUAAAUGCUUAAAGGUGGAUUUUGGAUGUUUUCUUACCACUAGUUGGAAAACAAAACACUUUAUUAAAAGCCAAAAAGCCCAAAAUCUAAAAAAUGAUUGUUAAACAACAGCAACAUAACUACUACUAACUUGGUGAUAAAUAAAUGCAAUAAAUAAAAUCAUAUUUAUUUAUUUUUUUAGCACAACUGAAACAAAUGUGCAGAGAUAAUAUCAGAAUAAUGUUUAACUGGAGCUGUUCGUGGGAAAUAUAAAUUACACAGAAUAUUAACUAGGAUAUUCUUUUACUUUAUUAAAGCUAUUUUUGACAAUUCCAUCUGUUAAGAUAAGAUUAGGUAGAGGGGUUUUGAACUAAAAUUGAAAAUUAUAGCAUUAUCUUUAAUUGCAUAUAUAAAUGAAUGUAUGUGCAUGUGUAUGUACAGUCCUUUUUCAUUAUGUGCUGUAAUGAUGCAGAAAAAAUAAUAUUUUAUGCAAAAUAAAAGUGAUAAAAAAUAGUAUCAGCAUUAUUAAAAGUCACCUUGGCAUCAUUUUGAAAGUAGGUAAGUGGGAUGAUUUGAAUCAAGUGUAUUAAACGCAUGGCAUAGCAUUUUAAAAUUGAAAGCAUAGAAAGUAUAGGUGAAUUCUGCAUUAAAUCUGUAUGAUAUAAAAAUAUAUAAAAACCCACACGGAAAAAUCUUGCACUGUUUUUCCAAAAGUAACAGAGAAACAUAAAUGGAAAUUUGUGUCCUGAUACUAUCCACCCCUGACUGUUGUAAAACAUCAGAAAAAACUGACAGUUUUGAAUAUGCAUUUCAGAUAAAUAUAAGUUUUACACUUCAUUGUGUCUUUGACAGUCACAUUCAUGUUGCUUUGACCUGAAUGCAUCUAAAAAUAUAUUUCACUAUAUAAUGAAAUGUAUGAAUGCUUUAAGCUCUGUUUAAAGGACUGAAGUGAACAGUUUAAACUGCAGCAGGAGAUACAAUGCUAUUCUUAUUGUGCAGUUCACAUCAUAAUUAUUUUACUACAUGCACAAGUAUAAAUGUUUCAUGAUGCUGGUUCUGUAAUAAUGCAAGAACCCAGGCUAUAAAUUAUGUAAAAUAAAUGUGAUUUACUGUAUUGUUCUUAUUAUACAGUAAUUAUGUUUGUCACCUCAAACGUCUUAAAGCUAACCUCUGGCAUCAUUUUGAAAGUAGGUAAGUAGGAUGAUCUGAAUCAAGGGUUAGUAUUAUUUUCCACAGGAAGCGGGCGCUGUGCAGAAAUAAGACAUGAUAAAACUUCCUGCCUACGUCACAGACGUCUGUGGUUGUUUUUCUCUUGUGCGAGGCAAGCAAGACAGGAUGUGUGUGUUUGCGCAUGUGUGUGUGGGUGGGUGACAGAAAUGAGGACAGGAAGACUGAUGCAUGCACAUUUGCACAUUUUGCAGCUUGCAGAGCGAGAGAGAGAAAUGUAGCACAUGCAUGACUUUGGCCUAUAAUAUGAGCCUUAUAAUCUGUCAUCAUGUAGGAUAGGUUACCUACUGUUAAAUACUGUUAAAAACACACUUCCUCUCUCAUUAGGAUUUUUUCACUGUUGCACCUACUUUAUACAUUUAUUGUAUUAUUCAUAAACAUUAUUAAUAACUAAAACAGAGUGUGUGAUUAGUCAUAAAAGCACAUCAAAUGUGCAUCACAUAUAAAAGGCACUACAAGAGAAAGAGUGAUUUAAUCAUUUCUCUGAAUGUUUUUUUCCGAUGCUUAACCUUUGUGCUUUCCUUGAAAGUGUGAUUCAUGAUAAACAUCUUGCUCAUUUUAGUUAAAUACGUACCGGUAUAAGAUGCACACAUGUAGAUGUGUGAAUAAAGGAGAAAUUGUGUUACGGUUUUAAAUGAAGCAUUUAUUCAUUCUCUUUUUGCAGUGUAUUUUGUUUUGUACAAAAAUAUCAAAGAUAUGUUUUGUUUUUAAUUAUUUUAAUCAUUAUUCUAUUAUAUAGACGUCAGUAUUUCAUGAUAUGCUGUAUGUGCAUGCGCAUUCAUGUGCAAAACACAUUCAUGAAGUCAUGUACAGUUCAACAGAUCUCUAAAGUGUCAUCAUUCAUCUGUGGUUUGGACUAAUUCCUCAGUAAAUCUGCAGGACUGCUGAUGAGAGGACAGUGACAGAAACCUCCAGCAGAGGGCCUACAGCAAGAUCAUCCUCCCAGCCAAAUCUAAGACAGUAGCUCAGCAGGAAACAAAGUUGGAGAGACGGAGGGGGACGGGAUCGGGAAAGUUCCACGAGCCGGGACUUGAACUCAACUGCACCAUAUGUCAACACGCUGCCCACGAGGCUAUUGGCACCAACUCAACAAUAUUUUGUUUUAUUUUAUUUAGAAUUUUGAGGGGAUUUUAUGAUACUAUGCAAUAUUUAUACAAUUUUUAUGAGCUACUUUUCCCUAUUGAAAAUAACAUUUAUUUUUGUAAUAUAUUUUUAUAUACAUUAUUUUUUUAUUAAUACAGUAUUCGAUGUUAAAAUAGAGACAAUGCACUUAAAAUACAAUUUUUGAAGGUAGAUUAGUGCAAUCUGGUGGGAGUAAAAAAGGAAAACUUAUGUAAUGCCAUGGUGUAACCUUAAAUUAAUACAUUGUUUAAAUUAAUACAUUGUUAGCUAACUGCGUGAUUUGUAUAUGUACAUUUUUGAAUUUACAUAACUUGGACACAGUCACCUCUGAUAACAGAUCACUCUAAAUUGUAAUGUUGACAUGCAUUUUCUGUAAAGCUGCUUUGAAACAAUAUGUAUUAUGAAAAGCGCCAUUCAAAUAAAUGUGAAUUGAACUGAAUUAACCGCUAAAUGUCUGUAUAGUUCUAUAUAAAGUGGCUUAUAAAUUC